GCGAACGCUGGCGGCAGGCCUAAUACAUGCAAGUCGAGCGGCCCUUCGGGGCAGCGGCGGACGGGUGAGUAACGCGUGGGAACGUGCCCUUUGGUACGGAACAACUGAGGGAAACUUCAGCUAAUACCGUAUGUGCCCUUCGGGGGAAAGAUUUAUCGCCAUUGGAGCGGCCCGCGUUAGAUUAGCUAGUUGGUAGGGUAAUGGCCUACCAAGGCGACGAUCUAUAGCUGGUCUGAGAGGAUGAUCAGCCACACUGGGACUGAGAUACGGCCCAGACUCCUACGGGAGGCAGCAGUAGGGAAUCUUGCGCAAUGGGCGAAAGCCUGACGCAGCCAUGCCGCGUGAAUGAUGAAGGUCUUAGGAUUGUAAAAUUCUUUCACCGGGGACGAUAAUGACGGUACCCGGAGAAGAAGCCCCGGCUAACUUCGUGCCAGCCGCCGCGGUAACAC
rnacentral:rRNA from 1 species